rnacentral:rRNA from 1 species
AUUGAACGCUGGCGGCAGGCCUAACACAUGCAAGUCGCACGAGUGGCGGACGGGUGAGUAAUGUCUGGGAACCUGCCUGAUGGAGGGGGAUAACUACUGGAAACGGUAGCUAAUACCGCAUACCAUCAGAUGUGCCCAGAUGGGAUGAGCUUGUUGGUGGUGUAACGGCUCACCAAGGCGACGAUCCCUAGCUGGUCUGAGAUGAUGACCAGCCACACUGGACCUAGGACACGGUCCAGACGCCUACGGAAGGCAGCAGUGGGGAAUAUUGCACGAUGGGCGCAAGCCUGGUGCGGCCAUGCCGGGGGUAUAAAGAAGGCCUUCGGGUUUUAAAGUACUUUCAGCGGGGAGGCGUUACCCGCAGAAGAAGCGCCGGCUAACUCCGUGCCAGCAGCCGCGGUAAUAC